AUGGACCCGACCGUGAAGAAAAGAAGUAACCAGAGGGGCCAAGCUAAAGUUGGAGGGAUCAUCUUCGGAGCCUCCGUUUUCCCCUCGGGCCUGGCCACAUCUCCCCUCUCGUCUCCUUCUCCACCACCGGUCGCCGCCGCGGCCAGGCCGGCGUGGCGGCGCGCCACCGCGCCAUCACCAGCAUCCGCCAGCACACACCGUCCAUCCAUCCAGCCACCAGCGCCACCGCAUCACCACCGCGCCUCCGCGACCUCGCUGCUCCACAUCAUCCAUCCAUCCACCACUCCGUCUUCGCCGCCAUCACCUUGCGCGCUCCACUUCGUCGCCGCGCCUGGCGCGUCCGACCAGACGGGCGUCUGGUUCCCCGCGCCACCUGCUGCUGCUCUCUCCCUCUCCACUGCUCCUCCCCUCGUCUCCACUUCCUCCGUUUCUCUUCUUCUUCUCCACAAACCUGCUGCUCUUCUUCUUCUCUCAACGCUCCUGCUGCUUCUUCUCCUUGCAUCCCUUUGCUGCUGUUGCCUCAACCUGCUGCUUCUCUUCUUCCACGCAAUCUGCUGCUCUUCUUGCGCCCAAGCUCCUGCUUCUUCUUUUCUGAAUCCCCAAACGCUUUCCUGUGUUGCUCAAGUAGCCGUGACAUAUAUAUUUCCUUUUGUAGUCUAUGUUAUUGCAUCUUCUCAGAUAUGGCUUACUAUUCAGAUCAUCAUGCUUAUGCGAGCAACACUACAAAUAGCACGGAAAGGAAUUAGGUACAAUGAGGAGAGCCACAACCAUGCACCACAACAGUUUUAUUCUCCUCCUACUCAUAUACCGCAGCACCAGGAGAUGUGUCCAAUGGAGUUAAAUGGUCCUCCAUUUGGUCAACCAACAACUCCAGCACCUGUUGUGCAAUCUCAUGUGCAAGUGCCCACACAAGAUGAGUUCGAUGACAUAGACAAGCUCACACUUUUGAGUCUCGAGUUCACUUGGAGUGCCGAGGAUGAUCCUAUUAGGAAGGUUAUACUAGAGGAAAUGAAGAAGAUCAAGAAUGGGAAGGAGCUAGUGGAAGAAGGAAGAUUAAGAAGAACAUCAACGCUGGCACAAGAGUCCAGAGGAAGAGAGACCUCAGAGGAAGAGAGACCUCAGAUUGAAGAUGUACUUGAAGCCAAGGAACAAGAUGAUCUGGAGCUCAAAUGCCCAAGUGAUCAACUUGAAGAUCCAAUGUCUUUCUUUCCCAAAGAAGUAAAAGAAGCUGAUGCAGUUGAAGAUGGAGAACCUGAGAUUCAUUUGCCUAUUAUCAUACAAGAGCGUGAUGUGCCAGGUUUACCUAAUCCUCUUGAUGUCAUGCGUCCGUAUAGUUUCUUUGCUACUACCUUGCAUUACAUGAUUCCAUCACUUAAGAUUGAUUUGAAAACUCAUAUGCUUGGAUAUGAUGAUACAUACACUGUUGGUGGCAUUGCUCUCAUUUAUGAUGAUGACACUUAUUCUCCUCAUGCUAGACUUAUGCUUAAUGGUUUCUGCUUGUGCACGAAUCAAUAUAUGAUGACCAGGUUCGAGGUGACAUCCCUUGGGAUCCCGGUGGAGUCAGAGCAUGGAGAUGAGGAGAAGCAAGGGGCACACAUGAAGAAGAGUGAAGCUGAAGCAUGCACGAGGAAGCAAAGGAGAAGAACUGCAGCUUAG
rnacentral:rRNA from 1 species